rnacentral:rRNA from 1 species
UACGUAGGGUGCAAGCGUUAAUCGGAAUUACUGGGCGUAAAGCGUGCGCAGGCGGUGAUGUAAGACAGUUGUGAAAUCCCCGGGCUCAACCUGGGAACUGCAUCUGUGACUGCAUCGCUGGAGUGCGGGCAGAGGGGGAUGGAAUUCCGCGUGUAGCAGUGAAAUGCGUAGAUAUGCGGAGGAACACCGAUGGCGAAGGCAAUCCCCUGGGCCUGCACUGACGCUCAUGCACGAAAGCGUGGGGAGCAAACAGG